rnacentral:rRNA from 1 species
AGAGUUUGAUCCUGGCUCAGGAUGAACGCUGGCGGCGUGCCUAACACAUGCAAGUCGAACGGAGCUGCUUUGAUGAAGUUUUCGGAUGGAUUUAAAACAGCUUAGUGGCGGACGGGUGAGUAACGCGUGGGUAACCUGCCUCACACUGGGGGAUAACAGUUAGAAAUAGCUGCUAAUACCGCAUAAGCGCACAGUUCCGCAUGGAACAGUGUGAAAAACUCCGGUGGUGUGAGAUGGACCCGCGUCUGAUUAGCCAGUUGGCGGGGUAACGGCCCACCAAAGCGACGAUCAGUAGCCGGCCUGAGAGGGUGAACGGCCACAUUGGGACUGAGACACGGCCCAAACUCCUACGGGAGGCAGCAGUGGGGAAUAUUGCACAAUGGGGGAAACCCUGAUGCAGCGACGCCGCGUGAGUGAAGAAGUAUUUCGGUAUGUAAAGCUCUAUCAGCAGGGAAGAUAAUGACGGUACCUGACUAAGAAGCCCCGGCUAACUACGUGCCAGCAGCCGCGGUAAUACGUAGGGGGCAAGCGUUAUCCGGAUUUACUGGGUGUAAAGGGAGCGUAGACGGCACGGCAAGUCUGAUGUGAAAACCCAGGGCUUAACCCUGGGACUGCAUUGGAAACUGUCUGGCUCGAGUGCCGGAGAGGUAAGCGGAAUUCCUAGUGUAGCGGUGAAAUGCGUAGAUAUUAGGAAGAACACCAGUGGCGAAGGCGGCUUACUGGACGGUAACUGACGUUGAGGCUCGAAAGCGUGGGGAGCAAACAGGAUUAGAUACCCUGGUAGUCCACGCCGUAAACGAUG